rnacentral:rRNA from 1 species
GUAACAAGGUCUCCGUAGGUGANCCUGCGGAGGGAUCAUUACACAAUAACCAGGCGGGCUGGACACCCCCCGCUGGGCACUGCUUCACGGCGUGCGCGGCGGGGCCGGCCCUGCUGAAUUAUUCACCCGUGUCUUUUGCGUACUUCUUGUUUCCUGGGUGGGCUCGCCCGCCCUCAGGACCAACCACAAACCUUUUGCAAUAGCAAUCAGCGUCAGUAACAACGUAAUCAAUUACAACUUUCAACAACGGAUCUCUUGGUUCUGGCAUCGAUGAAGAACGCAGCGAAAUGCGAUACGUAGUGUGAAUUGCAGAAUUCAGUGAAUCAUCGAAUCUUUGAACGCACAUUGCGCCCUUUGGUAUUCCAAAGGGCAUGCCUGUUCGAGCGUCAUUUGUACCCUCAAGCUUUGCUUGGUGUUGGGCGUCUUUUGUCUCCAGUUCGCUGGAGACUCGCCUUAAAGUCAUUGGCAGCCGGCCUACUGGUUUCGGAGCGCAGCACAAGUCGCGCUCUUUGCCAGCCAAGGUCAGCGUCCAGCAAGCCUUUUUUUCAACCUUUGACCUCGGAUCAGGUAGGGAUACCCGCUGAACUUA